UACGGGGGGUGCGAGCGUUGUCCGGAAUCACUGGGCGUAAAGGGCGCGUAGGUGGCCUGAUAAGGGUGUGGUGAAAGUCCGGGGCUUAACCCCGGAUCUGCCAUGCCGACUGUUAGGCUGGAGUGCUGUAGGGGCAGGCGGAAUUCCGGGUGUAGCGGUGGAAUGCGUAGAGAUCCGGAGGAAGACCGGUGGUGAAGGCGGCCUGCUGGGCAGAUACUGACACUGAGGCGCGACAGCGUGGGGAGCAGACAGG
rnacentral:rRNA from 1 species